rnacentral:rRNA from 1 species
CCCUCACCAGAGUAACAAUUGGAGGGCAAGUCUGGUGCCAGCAGCCGCGGUAAUUCCAGCUCCAAUAGCGUAUAUUAAACUUGUUGCAGUUAAAAAGCUCGUAGUUGAAUUUCUGCGUUAUCGAGUUAUUGACUCUUGUCUUUAAUCGAUUUCGCUUUUGGGAUUUAUCCCUUUUUACUUUGAGAAAAUUAGAGUGUUUCAAGCAGACUUUUGUCUUGAAUACUUCAGCAUGGAAUAAUAGAGUAGGACUUUGGUUCUAUUUUGUUGGUUUUUGAACCUUAGUAAUGGUUAAUAGGAACGGUUGGGGGCAUUCGUAUUUAACUGUCAGAGGUGAAAUUCUUAGAUUUGUUAAAGACGAACUACUGCGAAAGCAUUUGCCAAGGACGUUUCCAUUAAUCAAGAACGAAAGUUAGGGGAUCGAAGACGAUCAGAUACCGUCGUAGUCCUAACCAUAAACUAUGCCGACUAGGGAUUGGAGGUCGUCAUUUUUCCGACUCCUUCAGCACCUUGAGAGAAA